AUUGAACGCUGGCGGCAUGCCUUACACAUGCAAGUCGAACGGCAGCACGGGAGCAAUCCUGGUGGCGAGUGGCGAACGGGUGAGUAAUAUAUCGGAACGUGCCCAGUAGUGGGGGAUAACUGCUCGAAAGAGCAGCUAAUACCGCAUACGACCUGAGGGUGAAAGGGGGGGAUCGCAAGACCUCUCGCUAUUGGAGCGGCCGAUAUCAGAUUAGCUAGUUGGUGGGGUAAAGGCCUACCAAGGCAACGAUCUGUAGUUGGUCUGAGAGGACGACCAGCCAAACUGGGACUGGGACACGGCCCAGACUCCUACGGGAGGGAGCAGUGGGGAAUUUUGGACAAUGGGCGCAAGCCUGAUCCAGCAAUGCCGCGUGCAGGAAGAAGGCCUUCGGGUUGUAAACUGCUUUUGUCAGGGAAGAAAUCCUCUAGGUUAAUACCCUUGGGGGGAUGACGGUACCUGAAGAAUAAGCACCGGCUAACUACGUGCCAGCAGCCGCCGUAAUAC
rnacentral:rRNA from 1 species